rnacentral:rRNA from 1 species
AUUGAACGCUGGCGGCAGGCUUAACACAUGCAAGUCGAGCGGGGUGAUGGUGCUUGCACUAUCACUUAGCGGCGGACGGGUGAGUAAUGCUUAGGAAUCUGCCUAUUAGUGGGGGACAACAUCUCGAAAGGGAUGCUAAUACCGCAUACGUCCUACGGGAGAAAGCAGGGGAUCACUUGUGACCUUGCGCUAAUAGAUGAGCCUAAGCCGGAUUAGCUAGUUGGUGGGGUAAAGGCCUACCAAGGCGACGAUCUGUAGCGGGGCUGAGAGGAUGAGCCGCCACACUGGGAAUGAGAAACGGCCCAGACUCCUUCGGGAGGCAGCAGUGGGGAAUAUUGGACAAUGGGGGGAACCCUGAACAAGCCAUGCCGCGUGUGUGAAGAAGGCCUUAUGGUUGUAAAGCACUUUAAGCGAGGAGGAGGCUCUUUUGGUUAAUACCCAAGAUGAGUGGACGUUACUCGCAGAAUAAGCACCGGCUAACUCUGUGCCAGCCGCCGCAGUAA